rnacentral:rRNA from 1 species
AACUUUUAACGGUGGAUCUCUUGGCUCGUGCAUCGAUGAAGAACGCAGCCAGGUGCGAUAAGUAGUGUGAAUUGCAGAAUUCAGUGAAUCAUCG